CAUGUUUGUAUUUUGUUACCUAAUAACAAAAGACACAGUAUCUAAAGAUAAGAAAAUUUCUUUUUUUUUGGUGUGUUGAUCUUGCCCAUACGUAAACAACAUUUGUUGUCGGUCUAUUUUUAUUUUCUUUCUCACAAACGAUUUGUUUGUUUGUUAGUAGAAUCGAAUUGUGUUCUCAUGUACUUAUCGGCCAUUGACUAUAUAUGUCGACAUAAAAUCUCAAAACUCAAAUAUUUUAGCAGCUUUGAGUUUUGUUAUCCACAUGCAAAAAUAUUCAAAAAGUCUAACAAAUGUUGUCAUUUCAACAGUGCAUAUUUCUAUUCUUUUAUAUAACGAAACAUACGAACUAUAGUUGAUUUAAAAAAAAAUUAGUAACGUAAAUCGUGUAAUUAUAUUAAUAAACUACCUUUCUUUUUAUUAAUCGCACUACGUAAAUCAGCCUUUAGACCAUGUUUAUCGCAAGUCCUUAGCAAAGUUCUUAAAGCAAUAAACUGAUUUAAUUAAAUCUAAACAAAAUAAAAAGCAUAUUAUCGAUCCUUAAGUAAGGAAUUUGGCAACCGGUUUUUAGAUGAGUUUUAUACCACGUGUGAGCACAAGAAUAGCUCUGUUUUAUUUUUUUUAUGUGGUCGGUUCGUGUCUCGUUUUCUCUGAACGACUCUGGGCGUCUCUUCCUUCUUUGCUCGUCUUUGCCAUCAGAGGGACGAUGGAGACUCACCACGGAGGACGACGCUCCCGGUCCUCACGGCGGCGACUGGGAGAUUGACGACUCAGAUCAUCCUUCAGAGCAAGGUCCUUCAAUUGACGACUCAUAUCAUCCUGAUUUUGGUAGAGAUCAGAAUGGGUUUUCCUAAUAAGUUAGGGAAGCCGAGAAGGCCCAGAAGAAUAAGAUCAAAGUUCUUCAAGAUGUAAUAGACAAGCUAAACAAGAAAGCGAGAACGCAUUUCAAGAGAAUUCGGGGGAAGAUUUGAAUCGACACAUCUGGAAAGAAAGAAGAUAUACGAAGGACAUGCUAAGGGCGCGGAUAUGCGGCCGCCUCUUGUUGCAGAGUUGGUUUUGUUCCAAAAACUAAAGGUUUUGACUUACGGAGGCAAAACUGAUGAUCACACAGUAAUAGCUCUGUUUUCAAAUCUAAAGUACAGGGGACAUGGCAGCAGAGAAGAUCCCCAAGGACGUGAAGAAUCUUUGGGAAGAAUGGAACAUUCGUGUUCUCAUAAUCUUCAGUCUCUCACUCCAAUCGAUCCUUGUCGUCUUCUCACCCAGCAGAAAACGCACAUCCGGCAAGCUCUUCGUCUUCCUCAUAUGGUUCGCUUACCUUCUCGCCGACUGGUCAGCAAACUACACCAUCGGCCAAAUCUCAGACACUCAAGACGAAGAAGACGGUGAUCAAGGAUGGACACUGUGUGCAUUGCUCGCGCCGAUGAAUGAUGUGAGGAGCAAAAGAUCAGAAUGAACAAAGUAGUGAGAACUUGAGGAGCCAAAGACAUAUUCCAGAACUUGAGACUCUCGGUUAAGUAAUUUCACUUUCUUUGAUAUCAUUUUCUUGCUUUUUUCUUAAUUGCAUUGUAGUUAGGUUAAUAAAUACUUGUUAGAGUUAGGUUAUGGUUAGUGAAUAGGCUUGUACGAGUUAGGUUGCGGUUGUGAUGAAUGCUUCUAAUCAAUGCUUGUAUUAAUGAAUGUGCUUGUGAUA